ACGGGAGGCAGCAGUGGGGAAUAUUGGACAAUGGGCGAAAGCCUGAUCCAGCCAUGCCGCGUGUGUGAAGAAGGUCUUCGGAUUGUAAAGCACUUUAAGUUGGGAGGAAGGGCAGUAAGUUAAUACCUUGCUGUUUUGACGUUACCGACAGAAUAAGCACCGGCUAACUCUGUGCCAGCAGCCGCGGUAAU
rnacentral:rRNA from 1 species